rnacentral:tmRNA from 1 species
GGGGGUGACUGGUUUCGACAGGGUUGUUCUGAGGUGGGCAGCAAGCCGUGGUCUCCUCGCCACGUUAAACAGGGGUACCGUCAAAAUGAAUUGACGACAACUCUUUUGUGGGCGACUACGCCCUCGCCGCAUAACAUAAGUCGGCGCGUCUAACCGGGGGUUUCCCUCGCUUCCGGGGCGACGUCAUUUGAGGGGGAUGCUCCUGCGGAUGUAGCUGGUAUGCCGCAGGCUAAGACCAAACCCGCUAGGGUGCCGAUUGUGGGUCACCACGCGUGACGCACCCGAAUCCUUCGUGGUGACUGAGCUUGGAGACACCUGCCAGGGGAUGGCUUUGGACCGGAGUUCGAUUCUCCGCACCUCCACCA